CUAGCGACUUCAGAGUUUGAUCCUGGCUCAGAACGAACGCUGGCGGCAUGGAUUAGGCAUGCAAGUCGAACGAGGUAGCAAUACCGAGUGGCGGAAGGGUGAGGAACGCGUGAGUAAUCUGCCCUCUAGUUGGGAAUAACAGUUGGAAACGACUGCUAAUACCGAAUGUGGCUAUUGGACCGCAUGGUCUUAUGGCUAAAGAUUUAUCGCUAGAGGAUGAGCUCGCGUCCCAUUAGCUAGUUGGUGAGGUAACGGCUCACCAAGGCGACGAUGGGUAGCUGGUCUGAGAGGAUGGUCAGCCACACUGGGACUGAGACACUGCCCAG
rnacentral:rRNA from 1 species